GUACUUAUCUCUCUACCAUACAGAAGAAAGCAAGUUGGUACACUUCCUCACUAAUUUGCCACUUCUUCAGGAAAAUGUACAUUUAUCAAUCUGUGGCUGAAUUUUAUUUCAACACUUUGCAGAUGUAACCUUGUCAUCUGAAAGCUGUGAGUUGAUUUUUUUUGAGAAAAUCCGUGCCCUUUUAUGGAACAGUGGCUUCUAAAAACAUCUUCUACAGAAGUAAUUUGUGGAUACC